rnacentral:misc_RNA from 1 species
UCCUGCUUGUCACAGGACACAAGGGUUGCGCUCGUUGCGGGACUUAACCCAACAUCUCACGACACGAGCUGACGACAGCCAUGCAGCACCUGUGUAGGCUGGUAUUGCUACCUCGUCAGACUUUCAUCCUCCUACUACCUACAUGUCAAGGCCAGGUAAGGUUCUUCGCGUUGCAUCGAAUUAAGCCACAUACUCCACCGCUUGUGCAGGCCCCCGUCAAUUUCUUUGAGUUUUAAUCUUGCGACCGUACUUCCCAGGCGGCACAUUUAGCGCGUUAGCUUCGCCACAAAAGGGGUCGAUUCCUCUUACAGCAAAUGUGCACCGUUUACGGCUAGGACUAC